AUGAAUAAAUUUGGUCGAGCUGUUGCUGGCCCUUCGGGGCAUGUGCACGCUUGCCACCAAUUUUAUAACCACCUGUGCACCUUUGUAGACUAGAAUCAAUUCUCGAGGCAACUCGGAUUGAGAACUGCGGUGUUCAAAGCCAGCUGUUCUUGUGUUUCUCAGUCUAUGUUUUCAUAUACUCCAUUGUAUGUAUCAGAAUGUAUUGUUAGGCCUUUAGUGCCUUUAAAUCAAAUA
rnacentral:misc_RNA from 1 species